UUAAGUUCAGCGGGUAUCCCUACCUGAUCCGAGGUCAACCUUAGAAAGAUUCUCCCCGAGGGGAGGCAGACCGUGUCCCGUAAACCCAUGUGUCCGAUACGUGUCCCGUGAAGAACUCAGUGUACCGGGGGUCCAACGAGGCCGCCGUCAUUGUCUUUGGGAGGGGCAGGAGCCCCCCGAGGGGGCCUCACCAAACCGUC
rnacentral:misc_RNA from 1 species